CACUUGCUUACUGCUGUUCAUCAC
rnacentral:misc_RNA from 1 species